rnacentral:rRNA from 1 species
GAUGAACGCUGGCGGCGUGCUUAACACAUGCAAGUCGAACGGUGAACGAGGGAGCUUGCUCCCUCCGGAUCAGUGGCGAACGGGUGAGUAACACGUGAGCAAUCUGCCCUGGACUCUGGGAUAAGCGUUGGAAACGACGUCUAAUACCGGAUACGAGGCGUGGGGGCAUCCCCAACGCCUGGAAAGAACUUCGGUCCAGGAUGAGCUCGCGGCCUAUCAGGUAGUUGGUGAGGUAAUGGCUCACCAAGCCUACGACGGGUAGCCGGCCUGAGAGGGUGACCGGCCACACGGGGACUGAGACACGGCCCAGACGCGUACGGGAGGCAGCAGUGGGGAAUAUGGCACAAUGGGCGAAAGCCUGAUGCAGCAACGCCGCGUGAGGGACGACGGCCUUCGGGUUGUAAACCUCUUUUAGCAGGGAAGAAGCGAAAGUGACGGUACCUGCAGAAAAAGCACCGGCUAACUACGUGCCAGCAGCCGCGGUAAUAC